GCCUACGGGGGGCUGCAGUGGGGGAUAUUGGACAAUGGGGGAAACCCUGAUCCAGCGACGCCGCGUGAGUGAAGAAGUAUUUCGGUAUGUAAAGCUCUGUCAGCAGGGAAGAAAGAAAUGACGGUACCUGACUAAGAAGCUCCGGCUAAAUACGUGCCAGCAGCCGCGGUAAUACGUAUGGAGCAAGCGUUAUCCGGAUUUACUGGGUGUAAAGGGAGCGUAGGCGGUAAGGCAAGUCUGAUGUGAAAGGCCAGGGCUCAACCCUGGGACUGCAUUGGAAACUGUUUAACUGGAGUGUCGGAGAGGCAAGUGGAAUUCCUAGUGUAGCGGUGAAAUGCGUAGAUAUUAGGAGGAACACCAGUGGCGAAGGCGGCUUGCUGGACGAUGACUGACGCUGAGGCUCGAAAGCGUGGGGAGCAAACAGGAUUAGAUACCCUGGUAGUC
rnacentral:rRNA from 1 species